rnacentral:lncRNA from 1 species
GACCCUUUUUAAUGGAUGCUUUGUCUGAGUUUCUGUUUGUGUAUCAGUUGUGUGUCUGGUGUCUUACGAGGCCAGAAGUGAGCAUCAGAUCCCCUGGAACUGGAAUAAUAGGCAGUUGUCAGUGCUAGGAAUUGAAUCCAUGUCUCCUGGAGGAGCAGCCACUGAGCUGCUCUUAACCACUGAGCUGCCUCUUCAGCCCUGACCACUGGCCUUUCUAAGAAAGCCUUUAUAAAAGUCACGGCAUUACCAGCUGUUUGUCCCGUGAAGACAGGUUUACUUGGCAAGUUGAGUGGUGCUGGACAUAAAGAGAUGCUGACACAGUUGGACAGUGCACAGAAAGCUUCCCUAGCUCCGAGGGUAUGGAGUGAGGAAAUGGGGAGUCUCUGGAUGCUCGAACCUGAAGGUUUCUAGUCAACUUCAAAAAUAAACAUGUCAGCACUC